rnacentral:rRNA from 1 species
AUUGAACGCUGGCGGCAUGCUUUACACGUGCAAGUCGAACGGCAGCGCGGGCUUCGGCCUGGCGGCGAGUGGCGAACGGGUGAGUAAUACAUCGGAACGUGCCCAGUAGUGGGGGAUAGCUCGGCGAAAGCCGGAUUAAUACCGCAUACGACCUGAGGGUGAAAGCGGGGGAUCUUCGGACCUCGCGCUAUUGGAGCGGCCGAUGGCAGAUUAGCUAGUUGGUGGGGUAAAGGCCUACCAAGGCGACGAUCUGUAGCUGGUCUGAGAGGACGACCAGCCACACUGGGACUGAGACACGGCCCAGACUCCUACGGGAGGCAGCAGUGGGGAAUUUUGGACAAUGGGCGAAAGCCUGAUCCAGCAAUGCCGCGUGUGUGAUGAAGGCCUUCGGGUUGUAAAGCACUUUUGGCGGGAACGAAAAGGACUGUGCCAAUACCACGGUUCGAUGACGGUACUCGCAGAAUAAGCACCGGCUAACUACGUG